UACACCGCCUGGCGCGCCACCACCACCUACUCCGCCAGCGCGCCACCAUCUCGACCUGGCUCCCCAACCUCCCGCACCUUCUCCCCUGCACAUUGGGAGGCCCACACCUACCCCGACGCCGGCUGUCGAGCCCACCUCCGCCUACCUCUAGCGCCACCACAACCUCUCCGCUCGGCCCCAGGCCCCCAGAUCCAGCGAGGUCUGUCCACAACCUCACCUCUCCUGCCUGGAUCUUGCGAGCACCGCCCAUUUGCCUCCCCCGUCAGUUAAGAUCCUGGCCUCUGUUGCUUCCCCUACCAGCCAAGCUCCCUCGCCGUCCCAACACCUCUAUAGCCCCUUUCGGCGGCCGUUGGCCGAUGGAGCUGCCUCUCCAUGGAAAGGAAAAGAGGCGCGCGAGGUCGAGGGGUGCAGCCAGAGGCCCGUCGGGGCACGACCACCGGAUGGAGCUCGGCUGCGUGCCGACCACCUUCCCUACCCCCAGCGCGGCCCAUCAAGGCUCGAGGCCCCCGUUGAGUGAGCCACUACCCGUGCGACCACACUCCGCCACCAACGCGCACCAACUCUGCCGCUAACUGAUGCUAGUUGUUAUUAGUUGUUGCUAAUUACUAUUGUUAACUACUACUACUGUGUCACGGUCCUGGUAGUUAACUAUCGCUUGCAUUCCGCAUAUCUUCAUCAGUAUUUUUAAUCCUGGCAGUUAACUAUCACAGUUUUAACAAUUAGCUAUUCCGAUUCUGUAGUUAACUUCUGUAGUUAGCGUCCAUGGUCUGGUUCGCCACAUGGGCCUCCCCACUUCUCCACAGAGUGCUUCAGAAGCACACUGGCCCCAGCCGCAUGCUCCAUCGCGCUAGGGAUCGAUGAGGUGCAGGACCUCGAUGGGGAUUCGCUGGUGGAGCAACCUCCUAGUCCACCUCCUCCAUGCUAGCCUCUGGCACUACCGCGCCUCUCAGUUGUCUACUACACCACCACAGUCGACAACCACCUAGAGAGAGGCCCCGAGCCAUCGAGCACUGUCGGCGAGAUUUUUUGCAUGCAUAUUCGUCAGUUAGCUGCAUAUUUGUAUCUCUGUCAAUUAGCUAUUAACACUUCUUCAGUUAGCUAUUACCAUUCAUGCAGCUAGCAUUUCCAUGAACAACCUGACAUGUCCUAGUGGUGCAAGAGAAGUAUCAAGGCUAGGCAUUAGAUGGUGUCUGACUCCCCAUGGGGUUCAUUCAGGAUAAGAAGAAAAAUACACAGGAGCCAUCAUCGAGAGGCUGGAAGAAACAUGGGUAAGAAAGAAAUCGAACACUUGGAUACCCGUUCUCUGGGACUUUCUUGUGAGGAUCAAGUCUGAACAUAUUGUUCUAGUGGUGCUCUGUACGGGUUGACACUUAAUUCGUGGAUGUGGUUGCCUCCAGGCACACGCUGACGCGCACAAAGUGGCGUUUCAGAAGUCCGACUUGUCCUUCAUCUGCAUGAUGGGACAUUUGUCUAGCGUUAUCCAAAUCAACGAAAUAGAUAAUCAGUGGAUGCCGCUUGAGGAGUUCCUGAAGAAUCUGUUUAUCCAGGAGGACCACAUGUUCCAGAAGAUUCUGGACAUCUACAUCCAGCAGCUAAGGGAGUGCUACUGCGGCCUGAAGAAACGCAUAUUUAACUUUAAAAUUUGCAGCAGUUAAAAACCUAAAAAGAUGAAAAAAAACGAUAGUUAAGUUUGUAUUUCUUUGCAGCAAUUGAACUUUCUCUUGCGUUGUGCAUCUUCCUUCAGUUAACUUUGUAUAUUUUUAAUAGUUUACUUUUACUAGAUGAAGGUGAGUUCUGUUAGAGCACAAAUAUGUGUAUGGUUUAAAGAUUGAGGCUGUUUGCUUGAUUUUAAAAAUUCUAAAAAUAAUUGGUGCAGUU